rnacentral:rRNA from 1 species
UACAGAGGGUGCGAGCGUUGUUCGGAAUUACUGGGCGUAAAGCGCGCGCAGGCGGCCUUUUAAGUCUGACGGUGAAAUGCCGGGGCUCAACCCCGUGCCCGCCGGAGAUACUGGGAGGCUGGAGACAUGUAGAGGCAAGCGGAAUUCCGGGUGUAGCGGUGGAAUGCGUAGAGAUCCGGAAGAACACCGGAGGCGAAGGCGGCUUGCUGGGCAUGAUCGUGACGCUGAGGCGCGAAAGCGUGGGGAGCGACAGG